rnacentral:misc_RNA from 1 species
GAUGAAGACGCAGCGAAAUGCGAUAAGUAAUGUGAAUUGCAGAAUUCAGUGAAUCAUCGAAUCUUUGAACGCACAUUGCGCCCCCUGGUAUUCCGGGGGGCAUGCCUGUCCGAGCGUCAUUACAACCCUCAAGCUCAGCUUGGUGUUGGGCCCCGCCGCCCCGGCGGGCCCUAAAGUCAGUGGCGGUGCCGUCCGGCUCCGAGCGUAGUAAUUCUUCUCGCUCUGGAGGUCCGGUCGUGUGCUCGCCAGCAACCCCCAAUUUUUUCAGGUUGACCUCGGAUCAGGUAGGGAUACCCGCUGAACUUAAGCAUAUCAAUAAGCGGAGGA